CAUAUUAUCAAUCAAAACAAAAUUACCAAUUCAAUAUAGAACAUAAUUUAUAAAUCCAGAUUUAUAGAAAUCAAACAUAAAAAUAGAAUUACAAUUCAACAUAUAACAUAUAAAUAACCAAAAUAAUUUUAUAUGUAUUAUCAACCAAAACAGAAUUAUAAAUAUAUAUAUUUGGAUAUAGAUUCGGGUAUUACCCAUACCCGUA
rnacentral:lncRNA from 1 species